UACGAAGGGGGCUAGCGUUGCUCGGAAUCACUGGGCGUAAAGCGCACGUAGGCGGGUUGUUAAGUCGGGGGUGAAAUCCUGGAGCUCAACUCCAGAACUGCCUUCGAAACUGACGAUCUUGAGUUCGGGAGAGGUGAGUGGAACUGCGAGUGUAGAGGUGAAAUUCGUAGAUAUUCGCAAGAACACCAGUGGCGAAGGCGGCUCACUGGCCCGAUACUGACGCUGAGGUGCGAAAGCGUGGGGAGCAAACAGG
rnacentral:rRNA from 1 species